rfam:Myotis lucifugus cont2.2187, whole genome shotgun sequence.
GGCGGUUCUUGGGUGACACACCCUGGAAUCGGGCUCCCUCCUCUCUGGUCUGGAGCGUCACCUGAGAACCUCA